rnacentral:lncRNA from 1 species
CUACGGACCCGGUCCGUUUACCAUCUCCUAGGAUAUCUAGUAAGGCUGUAGCCAUUAUCCAUUUAUCAAUCCACAUAAUUUUUUCUAUUUUUCUUGAUCUCAUUAUCCAAUCAAAUAUAAACACGUAAACCAAUAAUGAACACCAAACAAGAUAACAACGGGUUCACAAUAAUUCAAACCAUAAUAAAUGAAACCGUGAUUCAUGCACACGAAACCAUAAAAUAAAUACAUCAGAUAUCAUACUGCAUUCUAAACUAUAAAAUAGAUCAAUUAACAACUGACCAAAAAAUACAUCAGAUUCGGGCUCCAUUAGCAACCUUAAUUAAUUAUACACAAUUCAUGAAAUAUCGUUUUAUCAUUUAUUGAGCUUUAAUACCGUGAUAGAAAAUAGGGUGAGAAAUUCUUACUUGUUUCGGGGUCUGAAAUCGGCUUUAUAAUGUGCCUACUGGUUGUCCCUAAAUUCCCUGAAUUUUCUUCGGGAAACUGAAAUGCACUACCGGUACCUGCACGUGUCCCAAAAAACUCCAAAUCAGACCCAGGGCCCCUUUUUGGCCAAUAUCAGAAUUUUGACACGGCGGCUCCGUCGUGCUCCGGC